rnacentral:rRNA from 1 species
ACGGGGGCGUGAUGUGCGAGAGGGAUAGUUUACUAGACUUCAAACUUUUCACGCCCUAGUGGCGGACGGGUGAGUAACGCGUGGGUAACCUGCCAUAUACAGGGGGAUAACACUUAGAAAUAGGUGCUAAUACCGCAUAAGCGCACAGGGGCGCAUGCCCCGGUGUGAAAAACUCCGGUGGUAUAUGAUGGACCCGCGUCUGAUUAGCCAGUUGGCAGGGUAACGGCCUACCAAAGCGACGAUCAGUAGCCGGCCUGAGAGGGCGGACGGCCACAUUGGGACUGAGACACGGCCCAAACUCCUACGGGAGGCAGCAGUGGGGGAUAUUGCACAAUGGGGGAAACCCUGAUGCAGCGACGCCGCGUGAGUGAAGAAGUAUUUCGGUAUGUAAAGCUCUAUCAGCAGGGAAGAAAAUGACAGUACCUGACCAAAAAGCCCCGGCUAACUACGUGCCAACAGCCGCGGUAAUACGUAAGGGGCAAGCGUUAUCCCGAUUUACUGGGUGUAAAGGGAGCGUAGACGGUUAUGUAAGUCUGGAGUGAAAGCCCGGGGCCCAACCCCGGGACUGCUUUCGAAACUGUGUAACUGGAGUACAGGAGGGGCAGGCGGAAUUCCUGGUGUAGCGGUGAAAUGCG